CGGACGGGUGAGUAACACGUGAGCAACCUGCCUUUCAGAGGGGAAUAACGUUUGGAAACGAACGCUAAUACCGCAUAACAUUGGGAUAUGGCAUCAUGACCCAAUCAAAGAUUUAUCGCUGAAAGAUGGGCUCGCGCCCGAUUAGGUAGUUGGUGAGAUAAUAGCCCACCAAGCCGACGAUCGGUAGCCGGACUGAGAGGUUGAACGGCCACAUUGGGACUGAGACACGGCCCAGACUCCUACGGAAGGCAGCAG
rnacentral:rRNA from 1 species